AUUUAAGUAAUUUAUUAAAAAUAUUGAUUUGUGGUAUCAAAAAUACAUUUAUGUCUUAAAUU
rnacentral:tRNA from 1 species